rnacentral:rRNA from 1 species
GAUGAACGCUGGCGGCGUGCCUAAUACAUGCAAGUCGAGCGAACAGACGAGGAGCUUGCUCCUCUGACGUUAGCGGCGGACGGGUGAGUAACACGUGGAUAACCUACCUAUAAGACUGGGAUAACUUCGGGAAACCGGAGCUAAUACCGGAUAAUAUAUUGAACCGCAUGGUUCAAUAGUGAAAGACGGUUUUGCUGUCACUUAUAGAUGGAUCCGCGCCGCAUUAGCUAGUUGGUAAGGUAACGGCUUACCAAGGCGACGAUGCGUAGCCGACCUGAGAGGGUGAUCGGCCACACUGGAACUGAGACACGGUCCAGACUCCUACGGGAGGCAGCAGUAGGGAAUCUUCCGCAAUGGGCGAAAGCCUGACGGAGCAACGCCCGUGAGUGAUGAAGGUCUUCGGAUCGUAAAACUCUGUUAUUAGGGAAGAACAAAUGUGUAAGUAACUAUGCACGUCUUGACGGUACCUAAUCAGAAAGCCACGGCUAACUACGUG